GACGAACGCUGGCGGCGUGCUUAACACAUGCAAGUCGAACGGAAAGGCCCUGCUUUUGUGGGGUGCUCGAGUGGCGAACGGGUGAGUAACACGUGAGUAACCUGCCCUUGACUUUGGGAUAACUUCAGGAAACUGGGGCUAAUACCGGAUAGGAGCUCCUGCUGCACGGUGGGGGUUGGAAAGUUUCGGCGGUUGGGGAUGGACUCGCGGCUUAUCAGCUUGUUGGUGGGGUAGUGGCUUACCAAGGCUUUGACGGGUAGCCGGCCUGAGGGGGUGACCGGCCACAUUGGGACUGAGGUACGGCCCAGACUGCUACGGGAGGCAGCAGUGGGGAAUAUUGCACAGUGGGCGGAAGCCUGAUGCAGCAACGCCGCGUGCGGGAUGACGGCCUUCGGGUUGUAAACCGCUUUCGCCUGUGACGAAGCGUGAGUGACGGUAAUGGGUAAAGAAGCACCGGCUAACUACGUG
rnacentral:rRNA from 1 species